AUUGAACGCUGGCGGCAUGCCUUACACAUGCAAGUCGAACGGCAGCACGGGAGCAAUCCUGGUGGCGAGUGGCGAACGGGUGAGUAAUAUAUCGGAACGUGCUCAGUCGUGGGGGAUAACGUAGCGAAAGCUACGCUAAUACCGCAUACGAUCUAUGGAUGAAAGCGGGGGAUCGCAAGACCUCGCGCGAUUGGAGCGGCCGAUAUCAGAUUAGGUAGUUGGUGAGGUAAAGGCUCACCAAGCCGACGAUCUGUAGCUGGUCUGAGAGGACGACCAGCCACACUGGGACUGAGACACGGCCCAGACUCCUACGGGAGGCAGCAGUGGGGAAUUUUUGGACGAUGGGCGCAAGCCUGAUCCAGCAAUGCCGCGUGCAGGAUGAA
rnacentral:rRNA from 1 species